AAAAAAAGCUUCUAGGGUUAAUUUAAUAAGUGCCCGUACCGAUAACCGACACAGGUAGGCGAGGAGAGAAUCCUAAGAUGAGCGAGAGAACUCUUGUUAAGGAACUCGGCAAAAUGACCCCGUAACUUCGGGAGAAGGGGUGCUUGUGAAAGCAAGCCGCAGUGAAUAGGCCCAGGCGACUGUUUAUCAAAAACACAGGUCUCUGCUAAACCGCAAGGUGAUGUAUAGGGGCUGACGCCUGCCCGGUGCUGGAAGGUUAAGAGGAGAGGUUAGCGCAAGCGAAGCUUUGAAUUGAAGCCCCAGUAAACGGCGGCCGUAACCAUAACGGUCCUAAGGUAGCGAAAUUCCUUGUCGGGUAAGUUCCGACCCGCACGAAAGGCGUAACGAUCUGGGCGCUGUCUCAACAAGAGACUCGGUGAAAUCAUAGUACCUGUGAAGAUGCAGGUUACCCGCGACAGGACGGAAAGACCCCGUGGAGCUUUACUGUAGCUUGAUAUUGAGCACUGGUGGCACAUGUACAGGAUAGGUAGGAGACGAAGAAACCAGGACGCCAGUCUUGGUGGAGUCGCUGUUGGGAUACUACCCUUGUGUCACUGGGGUUCUAACCCGUGGCCCUUAUCGGGUCAGGGAACAGUGUCAGGUGGGCAGUUUGACUGGGGCGGUCGCCUCCCAAAGAGUAACGGAGGCGCCCAAAGGUUCCCUCAGAAUGGUUGGAAAUCAUUCGAAGAGUGUAAAGGCAGAAGGGAGCUUGACUGCGAGACCUACAAGUCGAGCAGGGACGAAAGUCGGGCUUAGUGAUCCGGCGGUACCGAAUGGAAGGGCCGUCGCUCAACGGAUAAAAGCUACCCCGGGGAUAACAGGCUGAUCUCCCCCAAGAGUUCACAUCGACGGGGAGGUUUGGCACCUCGAUGUCGGCUCAUCGCAUCCUGGGGCUGUAGUCGGUCCCAAGGGUUGGGCUGUUCGCCCAUUAAAGCGGUACGCGAGCUGGGUUCAGAACGUCGUGAGACAGUUCGGUCCCUAUCCGUCGUGGGCGUAGGAAAUUUGAGAGGAGCUGUCCUUAGUACGAAAGGACCGGGAUGGACACACCGCUGGUGUACCAGUUGUUCUGCCAGGAGCAUAGCUGGGUAGCUACGUGUGGACGGGAUAAACGCUGAAAGCAUCUAAGCGUGAAGCCCCCCUCAAGAUGAGAUUUCCCAUUCGAAAGAAGUAAGAUCCCUUGAAGACGACGAGGUUGAUAGGUCAGGAGUGGAAGUGUGGUGACACAUGGAGCGGACUGAUACUAAUCGAUCGAGGACUUAACC
rnacentral:rRNA from 1 species